rnacentral:rRNA from 1 species
UGGGGAAUAUUGGACAAUGGACCGAGAGUCUGAUCCAGCAAUUCUGUGUGCACGAUGACGUUUUUCGGAAUGUAAAGUGCUUUCAGUUGGGAAGAAAAAAAUGACGGUACCAACAGAAGAAGUGACGGCUAAAUACGUGCCAGCAGCCGCGGUAAUACGUAUGUCACGAGCGUUAUCCGGAUUUAUUGGGCGUAAAGCGCGUCUAGGUGGUUAUGUAAGUCUGAUGUGAAAAUGCAGGGCUCAACUCUGUAUUGCGUUGGAAACUGUAUAACUAGAGUACUGGAGAGGUAAGCGGAACUACAAGUGUAGAGGUGAAAUUCGUAGAUAUUUGUAGGAAUGCCGAUGGGGAAGCCAGCUUACUGGACAGAUACUGACGCUGAAGCGCGAAAGCGUGGGUAGCAAACAGG